rnacentral:rRNA from 1 species
UACGUAGGGGGCAAGCGUUGUCCGGAUUUAUUGGGCGUAAAGAGCGUGUAGGCGGCUUUGCAAGUCCGUUGUGAAAACUCGAGGCUCAACCUCGAGACGCCGGUGGAAACUGCAAAGCUAGAGUCCGGAAGAGGAGACUGGAAUUCCUGGUGUAGCGGUGAAAUGCGCAGAUAUCAGGAGGAACACCGGUGGCGAAGGCGGGUCUCUGGGCCGGAACUGACGCUAAGGAGCGAAAGCGUGGGGAGCGAACAGG